GACGAACGCUGGCGGCGUGCUUAACACAUGCAAGUCGAACGGAAAGGCCCUGCUUUUGUGGGGUGCUCGAGUGGCGAACGGGUGAGUAACACGUGAGUAACCUGCCCUUGACUUUGGGAUAACUUCAGGAAACUGGGGCUAAUACCGGAUAGGAGCUCCUGCUGCAUGGUGGGGGUUGGAAAGUUUCGGCGGUUGGGGAUGGACUCGCGGCUUAUCAGCUUGUUGGUGGGGUAGUGGCUUACCAAGGCUUCGACGGGUAGCCGGCCUGAGAGGGUGACCGGCCACAUUGGGACUGAGAGACGGCGCAGACGCGUACGGGAGGCAGCAGUGGGGAAUAUGGCACAAUGGGCGGAAGCCUGAUGCAGCAACGCCGCGUGCGGGAUGACGGCCUUCGGGUUGUAAACCGCUUUCGCCUGUGACGAAGCGUGAGUGACGGUAAUGGGUAAAGAAGCACCGGCUAACUACGUG
rnacentral:rRNA from 1 species